CCAAACUCAAUUUUAUAGGCAGAUUGCAGCACCCUCUUACAAUUUUUCACCUUAUGCACACUCUCGAUGCUGAGAUAAGUACACAGUUUGCACCUAUGUAAGACCAAUUUUCACUGAGACAUAAUAGAUAAUCACCAAAUAUAUUAAAUAACAAUUGCACCCAUUCCAAUUGUGUUUAUUGCAAUACAAGAACAAAUCAUCAUCCUAUCUCAAUCUACUGUGCAUUUCUUCUGCUUGGGCAUGUUUUCUGCCACUAAUUUCUUCUUCAGUAGUAGCAGUGCCUUCAACUGUUCUUCCAACCCAUUCCUUCGGAGAGUCUUCAUUAAAUCAAGCCUUAGAAAACCUGCAAACAUCCCUCCCAAGAAGGCAACUGGCUCCUGAUAUAUAAGAAAACUAAGGCAUUAGAAAUCUUGUAAGAUAGACAAUAGUAAAAUAAGUUACUGCUCGAUGAAAAAGAAAAGGAAAAACAACAAAAGAAAAUGAUGAUUG
rnacentral:lncRNA from 1 species